UACGUAGGGGGCAAGCGUUGUCCGGAAUUAUUGGGCGUAAAGAGCGUGUAGGCGGUCCGGUAAGUCAGCUGUGAAAGUCAAGGGCUCAACCCUUGAAUGCCGGUUGAGUACUGUCGGGCUAGAGUCCGGAAGAGGCGAGUGGAAUUCCCGGUGUAGCGGUGAAAUGGCGCAGAUAUCGGGAGGAACACCAAUGGCGAAGGCAGCUCGCUGGGACGGUACUGACGCAUGAGACGCG
rnacentral:rRNA from 1 species